rnacentral:rRNA from 1 species
GACGAACCGUCCAAACGUUAUUCGGAAUCACUGGGCUUAAAGGGUGCGCAGGCGGAGAGGCAAGUCAGAGGUGAAAGCCCACGGCUCAACCGUGGAAGUGCCCCUGAACCGGCCUCUCUCGAGGGAGAUAGGGGCGUGCGGAACUCAGAGUGGAGCGGUGAAAUGCGUAGAUAUUCUGAGGAACACCGGUGGCGAAAGCGGCACGCUGGGUCUUUUCUGACGCUGAGGCACGAAAGCUAGGGGAGCAAACAGG